rnacentral:rRNA from 1 species
UCAAGCGAUAAAGAGCAUAGGGCGAAUGCCUUGGCACUAGGAGCCGAAGAAGGACGUGAUAAGCUGCGAUAAGCUACGGUAAGGCGCAAAUAGCCAAUAACCCGUAGAUUUCCGAAUGAGGGAACUCAAUUAUGGUAAUGCAUAAUUAUCCUAUGAUGAAUAUAUAGUCAUAGAGAAGGUAACCCGGAGAACUGAAACAUCUAAGUAACCGGAGGAAGAGAAAGAAAAAUCGAUUUUCAAAGUAGCGGCGAGCGAAAUGGAAAGAGCCCAAACCACAGAAGCUGUGGGGUUGUGGACCACCAAAACGAGAAUGAAGUAUAGUCAAAUUGUCUGGAAAGGCAAGACGAAGAGGGUGAAAUCCCCGUAGGCGAAAUGCUAAGUUUUCAGGGUGGCACCAGAGUAGGGCGGGACACGUGAAACCCUGUCUGAAGUAUGGGAGGACCACCUCCUAAGGCUAAAUACUACCUAGUGACCGAUAGAGAACAGUACCGUGAGGGAAAGGUGAAAAGAACCCCGGAAGGGGAGUGAAAUAGAAUCUGAAACCUUAUGCUUACAAGCAGAGGGAGCAAAGAGGGUAGCCUCUAAGUGACCUCGUACUUUUUGUAGAACGGGCCAACGAGUUAUGGUGUGUAGCAAGGUGAAGGCGUGAAGCGCAACAGCCGAAGUGAAAGCGAGCCUUAAUAGGGCGAGAAGUUGCAUGCUGUAGACCCGAAACCGGGUGAUCUAUCCAUGUGCAGGUUGAAGCGAGAGUAAAAUCUCGUGGAGGACCGAACCUGUAUCUGUUGAAAAAGGUUAGGAUGACGUGUGGAUAGGGGUGAAAUUCCAAUCGAACUCGGAGAUAGCUGGUUCUCCUCGAAAUAGCUUUAGGGCUAGCCUCAAGGAAAAGAUACACGGAGGUAGAGCACUGAAUGUUCUAGGGGCCUUCACCGGUUACCGAAAACUAUCAAACUCCGAAUGCCGUGCAAUCAUACUUGGGAGUCAGACUAUGGGAGAUAAGUUUCAUGGUCGAAAGGGAAACAGCCCAGACCCACAGCUAAGGUCCCAAAAUGUAAGUUAAGUGGAAAAGGAUGUGAAGUUGCAUAAACAGCUAGGAUGUUGGCUUAGAAGCAGCCACUCAUUUAAAGAGUGCGUAAUAGCUCACUAGUCGAGUGACUUUGCGCCGAAGAUAAACGGGGCUAAACUUACUACCGAAGCUUGGGAACUAGAAAUAGUUGGUAGAGGAGCAUCCUGUGAAGGCUGAAGCCAACCUGGAAGGGUUGGUGGACAACACAGGAGAGAGAAUGUUGGCAUGAGUAGCGAGAGGCAGGUGAGAAUCCUGCCCGCCGAAAAUCUAAGGUUUCCUGAGGAAGGUUCGUCCACUCAGGGUUAGUCGGGGCCUAAGCCGAGAGCGAACGCUGUAGGCGAUGGACAACUGGUAGAUAUUCCAGUACCACCGAAUGUCGUUAUAAGUGAAGUGGGGACACAGAAGGAUAGGUUGAGCGCACCGUUGGUAGAGUGCGUCCAAGCGUUAAGGGAGCUGAAGCAGGCAAAUCCGCAUCAGCAAUUCUGAGGCGUUACGGGGAGUCUAAAAAGACGGAAGCAACUGAUUUCAUACUGUCAAGAAAAGCCGCUAGCAAGACACUAGGUGCCCGUACCGCAAACCGACACAGGUAGAUGAGGAGAGAAUCCUAAGGCGAGCGAGAGAACUAUUGUUAAGGAACUCGGCAAAAUUACCCCGUAACUUCGGGAGAAGGGGUGCCUGCGAAGAGCAGGCCGCAGUGAAUAGGCCCAGGCGACUGUUUACCAAAAACACAGGUCUCUGCUAAAGCGAAAGCUGAAGUAUAGGGGCUGACGCCUGCCCGGUGCUGGAAGGUUAAGGGGAAUGCUUAGCGCAAGCGAAGGUGUGAACUUAAGCCCCAGUAAACGGCGGCCGUAACUAUAACGGUCCUAAGGUAGCGAAAUUCCUUGUCAGGUAAGUUCUGACCCGCACGAAAGGCGUAACGAUCUGGGCACUGUCUCAACAAUAGACUCGGUGAAAUUGUAGUACCGGUAAAGAUGCCGGUUACCCGCAGCAGGACGGAAAGACCCCAUGGAGCUUUACUGUAGCUUGAUAUUGAGUUUUGGCAUUGCAUGUACAGGAUAGGUGGGAGACUGAGAAGUUAGGACGCCAGUUUUAGCUGAGUCACCGUUGGGAUACCACCCUUGUAAUGUUGAAAUUCUAACCGUGCGCCGUAAUCCGGUGUCGGGACAGUGUCUGGUGGGCAGUUUGACUGGGGCGGUCGCCUCCUAAAGAGUAACGGAGGCGCCCAAAGGUUCCCUCAGCGCGGACGGAAAUCGCGCGUAGAGUGCAAAGGCAGAAGGGAGCUUGACUGCGAGACCAACAAGUCGAGCAGGGACGAAAGUCGGGCUUAGUGAUCCGGUGGUACCGAGUGGAAGGGCCAUCGCUCAACGGAUAAAAGCUACCCCGGGGAUAACAGGCUUAUCUCCCCCAAGAGUUCACAUCGACGGGGAGGUUUGGCAC